AUUAAUUUUAAAUCCAUUUGAUAGAAUUAAUCAUAUAAGCCAGUCUCAUUUCCCUGCAAAUGUCUGCCUUCGUGCAGGUGAUUCUGUAGAAAGGAGUUUCUCCAAUAAAGCAGAGCUUCUCUUUCAACUCCAUGGACAUCAGAGAGAGUCCCUUUCAAAAAAGGAGGCUCAGGUCUGGAGAGACAAAGGCCUCUACUUUCGAAAAGGCCUCUUGGAUCAAGCCCAGGACCCUCAUCAGAGCUGACAACAUGUCCAGCCUGCACUACUGCAAGAACUUCUUUGUCUAUGGUAGUGUGGUCAACUGAAGAAGCCGGCUUAGUUGCUCCAGUCAGGUGCUCACACUAAGAAAGGAUGGGUGAAGGUUAUAAAGUGGCUGUGAAUGAGAACUCGGUCUGGGCUCUACCAAGCAGAGAAGCCAUGCAGAGAUGAGAAAGGUGAAAGCCAUGAAACCAUGUUAAGCAGAAAAAUAAAAAUUCAAAACAGAA
rnacentral:lncRNA from 1 species